GUCUACGGCCAUGCCACUCUGAACAAGCCCAAUCUCAUCUGAUCUCGGAAGUUAAGCAGGGUCAGGCCUGGUUAGUACUUGGAUGGGAGACCACCUAGGAAGACCAGGUCCUGUAGGUG
rnacentral:rRNA from 1 species